rnacentral:rRNA from 1 species
GACGUAGGGCGCGAGCGUUGUCCGGAUUUAUUGGGCGUAAAGAGCUCGUAGGCGGUUCGUCGCGUCGGCUGUGAAAUCCCGAGGCUCAACCUCGGGUCUGCAGUCGAUACGGGCAAACUAGAGUAUUGCAGGGGAGACUGGAAUUCCUGGUGUAGCGGUGAAAUGCGCAGAUAUCAGGAGGAACACCGGUGGCGAAGGCGGGUCUCUGGGCAAUAACUGACGCUGAGGAGCGAAAGCGUGGGGAGCAAACAGG